GUGGGGAGCUGAGCCCCAGAGAGGCACUGCCCAUCACGGGCGCCCCCCCCCCCAGUCUUCUCUCCACACUUGACCAAAGCCACGGACGGCCCCACUACUCCGAGGGCGAGAGGUCGGACGCCCAAGGGAGAGAGAACGAGGUGGCAGCCAGCGCGGUGGAGGGAAACUGAAUCUUAGAGAAGAAGGCGUUUGUACAAUGAAUGAAUCAAUGAUAGAGCAAGAACCAAGACCUAGGGCUCCAAUGCGGGAACAGAACUCUGCCCCUUCCUCUGCCUAAUAUCAGGGCAUCUUCACAGUGUGUCAGCCUCCUCAUGGAAGAAUCAGCACCGCUUGGAGAAAUCUGGGCACACAGGAAGUUGAUACUUCCCAGGCUCCGCUGAAGUUAGACUGGGGGCAUAUGCCUCAUUCUGACCAAUGGAAUACAGGCAGAAGUAAUACAUACCACUUGCAACUUGUUUGUGUAAAAAUCCAAGCCUUUUGCCUGAUUGCUGGACAUAAAGAAUCCAGGGAAUGGUCCCAAGCUAUCCUGCCAAGAUGGUGGAGAUACAGGAAGGAAUGUUCUGGAAUCUCCACUUUGUAGAGGGUAGCAGUGAAAAAUACUAAACCUUCCAUUGCAAUUGGGGUUUCAAUGUUAUACUCAUCAGUACCAAUUAAUCCAGGCCAAUACACCAAUGAAGUUUUGGCAGUUACUUUCCCCAAAUCAUGCAGGACCAAUUUUAAGGAACGUGGUUAAUUUACUUAUAUGGUAUGAUUUCAGAAACAACAGAAAAUUUCCUUACCCCAAAUAAUUUCUCCUCCCACUGGUUAAUUAUUGAAAUGCUUUAAAUAGGAACUUUCAUUGUCUUUCCUUGGCUUAUUUUGUGCGUGGGGCAUGUGAGGGGGGGUAUGUCUGUAUGUGUGUGAUAUGUGCACAUGGUUGCCAGUGGGCAUGCAUGUGAAGGCCCAAGGUCCAUAUCAGGGAUUUUCCAUUCUCCAUUUUUAUUUUUUGAGACAGGGUCUGUCACCAAACCUGAAGCUGGUCAGUUUGGCUACCGUGACUGGCCAGUGAGCUUUAGGAAUCCUCUUGUC